UGCCAGACUCCUACGGGAGGCAGCAGUGGGGGAUAUUGCACAAUGGGGGAAACCCUGAUGCAGCGACGCCGCGUGAGUGAAGAAGUAUUUCGGCAUGUAAAGCUCUAUCAGCAGGGAAGAAGAAGGACGGUACCUGAGUAAGAAGCCCCGGCUAACUACGUGCCAGCAGCCGCGGUAAUACGUAGGAGGCAAGCGUUAUCCGGAUUUACUGGGUGUAAAGGGAGCGUAGACGGCGAAGAAAGUCUGAAGUGAAAGCCCGGGGCUCAACCGCGGAAUGGCUUUGGAAACUUUUUUGCUGGAGUACCGGAGAGGUAAGCGGAAUUCCUAGUGUAGCGGUGAAAUGCGU
rnacentral:rRNA from 1 species